rnacentral:lncRNA from 1 species
UUUUUUUCAUUUCCUUCAUUUCUAUUUUUCUUUUUUUUUUCUUGCUAAAAUUUGCUAUUUUAUAUAAACAAUAAAAACCAAAAUUUCCCUUCUUUUCUUUCUACAAAUCAUACUUCUUUCCAUUCUCUCCAACUUCUCUGACCUUUGAAUCAGAAACAAUCGUUUUUUAAGAAUGUGAUGACUUCUUAUUUCCAGCACCGCCUUGUAUCACCAAUCAUCGCAGUUCAUCGACGGUUAAAAAACACGUAAAGUUCCUUUUCGAUUCCUCUUCACCUUUCUGAAACUUUAGUAAGCUUUGAUUUUUGAAAAUCCUUUCAAAAUGUCUUAGAUCUAGAUCAAAAGUUCCCCACCGCCAAGACCACCAUCACCUUUCCGAAUGCCCAAUUUCCCUUCCUUCUUCCACUUCUUUUCUUCGAUCUAGAACCCUAACAAGAAACCUUAAACAACUAAGCUGAGAUUUUAAAGUACCCAU